GAUGAACGCUGGCGGCGUGCCUAAUACAUGCAAGUCGAGCGAACAGACGAGGAGCUUGCGCCUCUGACGUUAGCGGCGGACGGAUGAUUAACACGUGGAUAACCUACCUCUACGACUGGGGUAACUUCGGGAAACCGGGGCUACUACCGGAUAAUAUAUUGAACCUCGUGGUUCACUAGUUAAAGUCGGUUUUUCUUUCACUUAUAGAUGGCUCCGCGCCUCAUUAACUAGUUGGGAAGGUAGCGGCUUACCAAGGCAACGAUGCGUAGCCGACCUGAGAGGGUGAUCGGCUACACGGGAACUGAGACACGGUCCAGACUCCGACGGUGAGCAGCAGUAGGGAAUCCUCCGCAAUGGGCGAAAGCGGGACAGAGCAACGUCGCGUGAGUGAUGAAGGUCUUCGGAUCGGAAAACUCUGUUAGUAGGGAAGAACAAAUGUGUAAGUAACUAUGAACGUCUUGACGGUACCUAGUCAGAAAGCCACGGCUAACUACGUG
rnacentral:rRNA from 1 species